UUGAUAAAAUCAUGUGGCACACAGGGCUUCCUGUUCUAAAGGAUAAACCUGUUUCUUAUGGAUGACUUGUAGCUCAAACUGCUUCAGGCCAUGGUGAUUACCCUGUUGAAGAUUUCCGUUUGGGGAGGGGAUCAGUGCUAGUUUGAGACCAGCCAUGUGGGACACUGCAGACAUACCUGCUGAAAAUUUAAACACUUCAUGAGGAGACUGAAUCACCAAAGGUGGGACACCCAUUGGUCAUUUCCAUAUAUUUACCCUAAACACAGUUAUAGGAAAAAGUGAAAGCUGCAAUGGGAUGGCUCAGAGAAGAGCAACAGGAGCGAGGCAGAGAACUGUCUUACUCAGAGGAGCAGGAAGUUCCUGCAGUUCAUCAUCAGCUUCUGUUGGCUAUCUACAGGCACAGGAAUGAGCACUUGAUUUUAUCAAAAAAAUCCACACUACAAUUUACAUUUCAUUCUUUCACUUUGGAGCCUUGCAGUUUUAUCAGAUGCUUUCAUUUUGGAUUAAUGUUUUCUUCAGCUGGCAUCCUAUGGGGAGGACUCUUUUUCACCACCCGCUUUUUUUUCCCCUAGUAUAGAGUAAAAUCUCUGCAAGGACUCUUUUAAUAAAUGCUCUGACUUAUAUGAGUAUUCAUAUUUGAAUGGGCACAGUUCAAAAAAGAUUAAGUUAGAAACCUCAGAGUUGGCUUGUUUGUAGUCUUCAUUACACAACAUAAAGCAGUGCUAUUAUGAAUACCUAAUUCCAAAAUUCUGAAUAUGCAUGUUUAUGCAUAAAUGUAGCAUUUGAUUUUAAGAAGAUUUAAAAAAUGUGAAAUAUAGUUUAGGAUACAAAAGGGAAAGGCCAGAUAUUUUAGACAUUUGAAGAAGUCACAAUAUUUUUUUUGUGUAAGUAUGGAUCACAGAGGAGCAUAUUUCCAUCCAAAGGAUUACCUUCAGAUUUUAAAAAAUAUCAGCAUUUUGAACCAUUCUUAAUAAUUCUUUAAAUCUUUUACUUUUAUUUGUUCUGUUAAAAUAUUUACCAUUAUUUUGUAAUGACAUUUGUAAUUUAUUACUUUAAAAUACAUAUGAGAUAGUUUUAUUUCUUUAAUGCAUUUUCUAACAAAACAUUCUGCUGAAAACAGUGUUGAAAUUACAUCAAAUGAAAACAUUUGAUUUUGCAAUAGAUCUUAAUUUAUUAAACCAAUUGCUGAUUAUAUUGUGCUUAUCAGGUUUAAAGGGUCACCCUUAACUGUGGUAUAAAAAUCUGAAUCUUCUAUCUCAAACGUGGACCACAUAAUGUUAUGUAGUACUCAAAUUUAGUAUCGCUUUCUCACUGUACUAUUAGUGCUUUGGAUCAGCCUGAUCUCUGUAGAAGAGGUUUUUACUUCUACACAACAUGCCCAUUGUGUGAAAACUAGCUGGGAGUUAUUCUUCAGAAAAAAUGCAGCUAACAAUUUUUAAAUAGGUUUUUAUUGUGUACUAAAUGAUAGAAUUUUUUAAGCAGUAAGUUACCUAUUUUAAAGCUUAUUUUAGCUUCUGCCAUUUCAUUUAUAAUUUUAAAUUAUACAUAUUCCCAUGGUUUAACUUUCAUGGUUGUCUUCAACUUAACCAAUUAUUGAAGAUUCAGAGUAUAAUCUUGGGGAAAGCUUUACCAUGAGUUUCAUGUACUCUUAUGGUUGUUUCUUUGAAAACUGAUAAUUUAUCAAUUCUCUUGUUGGUUUGGUUGGUUGGUUGGGUUUUUGUUUGUAUGUAGGUUUUGUUUUGUUUUAUUUUGUUUAACGUAAGUUACUUGAGCCAGAGAGUAGUAAUUACAAAAUUCCUACCGGGUGACUUGGAAGAGAGAAAAUUUUUUCAAAUAUUCCUGUUCAACAGCUUUCUUCCAACUCACCAAUGUGUGAAUGAUAGAAAACCCCAAACAAAAUAAAACAAAAAAAAACAACCCC